CACCGCCCGUCACACCACGAAAGUGGGUUGCACCAGAAGCCGGUGCGCCAACCGCAAGGAGGCAGCCGUCCAAGGUAUGACUCAUGAUUGGGGUG
rnacentral:rRNA from 1 species